UACGAAGGGUGCUAGCGUUGUUCGGAAUUACUGGGCGUAAAGGGCGCGUAGGCGGUGUGUUAAGUCAGGCGUGAAAGCCCCGGGCUCAACCUGGGAACCGCGCUUGAGACUGGCACGCUGGAGUCCGGGAGAGGAUGGUGGAAUUCCCAGUGUAGAGGUGAAAUUCGUAGAUAUUGGGAAGAACACCGAUGGCGAAGGCAGCCAUCUGGACCGGCACUGACGCUGAGGCGCGAAAGCGUGGGGAGCAAACAGG
rnacentral:rRNA from 1 species